UUCUUAUAUCGAGCGAUAGCUCUACGGAGAGGAAAGUCGGGACACACAGUUUUUAUAAACAAUCGUAGUGGGUAACACCCAUCGGGAGCAAUCCUAGAGUUGCGAACAGAGACGAGCUUAUUAAGUUAAGUUGAAACGGCAAAAUACUUACGAGUGUGCAAAGUUGUGCUCUGACGUUAUAGUCGGAGAGUGCUGCAAAUGAUACAAUUGGUAACAAUUGUACAAGACAAAUUGUCGCUGAUAACAGAAUCCCGCUUAUAGAUAUAAGAGCAAA
rnacentral:RNase_P_RNA from 2 species